rnacentral:rRNA from 1 species
AGGUCCAGCCUGCCCAGUGACAAUGUUCAACGGCCGCGGUAUCCUAACCGUGCGAAGGUAGCGUAAUCACUUGUCCUUUAAAUGAGGACUAGUAUGAAUGGCUUCACGAGGGCUACACUGUCUCCUUUUUCUAAUCAGUUAAACUAAUCUUCCCGUGAAGAAGCGGGAAUCUUCCCAUAAGACGAGAAGACCCUAUGGAGCUUUAAACAACUGAUUCACUUGCAUAUUUACUUUCUCAAUAUUUCUAUAUUAAACCUAGCAUUUUGUUUCUAGUUUUAGGUUGGGGCGACCACGGAGAAAAAAUUAACCUCCAUGAAGAAGGAAACUUUACUUCUUAGCAAAAAAUUACAUUUUUAUGCACCAAUAAAUUGACCUAAAUUGACCCAAUAAUUUGAUCAACGAACCAAGUUACCCUAGGGAUAACAGCGCAAUCCACUUCAAGAGCUCUUAUCGACAAGUGGGUUUACGACCUCGAUGUUGGAUCAGGGUAUUCCAGUGGUGCAGCAGCUACUAACGGUUCGUUUGUUCAACGAUUAAAAC